rnacentral:rRNA from 1 species
UGGGGAAUUUUGGACAAUGGGCGAAAGCCUGAUCCAGCAAUGCCGCGUGUGUGAAGAAGGCCUUCGGGUUGUAAAGCACUUUUGUCCGGAAAGAAAUGGCUCUGGUUAAUACCUGGGGUCGAUGACGGUACCGGAAGAAUAAGGACCGGCUAACUACGUGCCAGCAGCCGCGGUAAUACGUAGGGUCCAAGCGUUAAUCGGAAUUACUGGGCGUAAAGCGUGCGCAGGCGGUUGUGCAAGACCGAUGUGAAAUCCCCGAGCUUAACUUGGGAAUUGCACUGGUGACUGCACGGCUAGAGUGUGUCAGAGGGGGGUAGAAUUCCACGUGUAGCAGUGAAAUGCGUAGAGAUGUGGAGGAAUACCGAUGGCGAAGGCAGCCCCCUGGGAUAACACUGACGCUCAUGCACGAAAGCGUGGGGAGCAAACAGGAUUAGAUACCCUGGUAGUCCACGCCCUAAACGAUGUCAACUAGUUGUUGGGGAUUCAUUUCCUUAGUAACGUAGCUAACGCGUGAAGUUGACCGCCUGGGGAGUACGGUCGCAAGAUUAAAAGCUCAAAUGAAUU